rnacentral:rRNA from 1 species
CAGUAGCGUAUAUUAAAGCUGUUGCGGUUAAAAAGCUCGUAGUUGGAUAUCAGUGCGUGUCCGGUCCGGUAUGCCCGGCGGCGGCGCUCGCGCGUCACUGCCGGGCUCCCAAAUAUCGGCUGGCCGCAUUCAAUCGUGCCGGAUCCGUCGACGGGCCGUUCUACGGAGGGGCCUGUUGGCGACCGGCGACGUUACCUUGAACAAAUUAGAGUGCUCAAAGCAGGCUCUGAAUGCCUGGAUACAUAUUCAUGGAAUUGGAGAAUACGUCCCUGGCUCGAUUUGGUUGGUUUUGAGAGUCGAAGGGAAAUGAUUAAUAGGGACUGACGGAGGCAUUCGUAUUGCGACGCGAGGGGUGAAAUCCUGUGACCGUCGCACGACGAACUACUGCGAAAGCAUUUGCCGAGAAUGUUUUCAUUAG